CGGGGUGACUAGUGACAGAGUGAGAGAGAGGGUGACACAGUGACAGAGUGAGGGAGGGGGUGACUAGUGACAGAGUGAAGGAGGUGGUGACUGUCACUAGUCACACCCUUCCCUCCCUCACUCUGUCACUAGUCACCACCUCCCUCUGUCACUACUCCCUCCCUCCUUCUGUCACUAGUCACCCCCUCCCUCACUGUGUCACUAGUCACCCCCUCACUCUGUCACUAGUCACCCCC